UGAGGGAUAUUGGUCAAUGGGCGCAAGUUUGAACCAGCGACGCCGCGUGGGUGAAGAAGGUCUUCGGAUCGUAAAGCCCUUUUCCCACUGAAGAGGAAGGACGGUAGGUGGGGAAGAAGUCUCGGCUAACUACGUGCCAGCAGCCGCGGUAAAACGUAGGAGACAAGCGUUAUCCGGAGUUACUGGGCGUAAAGGGCGUGCAGGUGGCGGCUUAAGUCUGUUGUGAAAGCGCCUGGCUUAACCGGGCGAGGCCAAUGGAGACUGAGAGGCUGGAGGACGGCGGAGGGGUGUGGAAUUCCGGGUGUAGUGGUGAACUGCGUAGAGAUCCGGAGGAACACCAGAGGCGAAGGCGGCACUCUAAGCCGUACCUGACACUGAGACGCGACAGAACGGGG
rnacentral:rRNA from 1 species